rnacentral:lncRNA from 1 species
GAAAUUCCUACUCCUAUAUGUCAAAUCUAAUUUUUUUCGUUGGGUUGUUGGCACCUUUAACAAAUUUUUGGCUACUGCUCAUGAAGUUUGGGUCAUCUUAUGAUUAUGAAUAAGGUAAUCUCUGAGUUUAGUUGUAAUUGGUUGUUACCAAAUCAAUAUCUAAACCUACUCACGACUAAAUCUUUUUUCUUUUGAACCACCCAACCAUACGCAUUGGAAUGUAGGCCUGUGUUUGGAGUACCAGUUAUUCGAAGCCUAGUCCCACCAUAUCCUUUCAUUCAUCCAUCACUCUAGCUCAACUUUCUUUUAAAAUCAAAUAUCAUUUUCCAAACACGGUCUAAACUGCAAUCCAUCAUCCAACUUUAUCCAACCCCACUGUUAUUUAAUGUAUUACCCGAGGAGGUUUCAGUCAUUUAAAAGAACCUUAAUUGAAACGAUAGCCCAAUAAAGAAUCAAAAGCCAAAGAAAAAAGCAACAGAAACAUUUAAAAAACAGCUAAUAAAGCAAAAACAAGAUUGAAAGAGAAGCCAGUACAGUGCAUGCCUGUCUCUCUCCCUAUCUCUCCUUUGAUCACCACUCAAUUGUGUCUGUGUCUGUGUCUGUGUCUGUGUCUGUGUGAUAGUGUGUGUGAGAGAAUAGAGAAUAUUUUUUACAGAGGCAAAUACAUGGAACUCUCAGACCCACACUCAUAAAAAUCAAAAGCAUUGCUUAGACACACCCAGUGAGCCAAAACCCAUAUUACCUCUCUCCCCC